AUAAUCUUUGUUCUUAUCCAGAAACAGAUCCGCUUGAUAUGUCACCUCUCCGGCAUAAUGAGAUAUUGUAAAACUAGUCCGUGAAAGUUUAGGUUUGAUGAAGCGCUUGUUUUUAGGGAAUGUUUGGUACAACUUCUGAGCAAAUGUUUCAUGAGUAGAUUUAGGAAACAUACAGGCUUCAUCUAAAAGAGCAAUAAUUCCCCCAGGUUUCUUUUCAAUCAGAUCUAGCACAUCUUGG
rnacentral:misc_RNA from 1 species